GAUAUGGCUCAGGAUGAACGCUAGCUACAGGCUUAACACAUGCAAGUCGAGGGGCAUCAGUUUGGUUUGCUUGCAAACCAAAGCUGGCGACCGGCGCACGGGUGAGUAACACGUAUCCAACCUACCUCAUACUCGGGGAUAGCCUUUCGAAAGAAAGAUUAAUAUCCGAUAGCAUAUAUUUCCCGCAUGGGUUUUAUAUUAAAGAAAUUCGGUAUGAGAUGGGGAUGCGUUCCAUUAGUUUGUUGGGGGGUAACGG
rnacentral:rRNA from 1 species